rnacentral:tRNA from 1 species
GGGGCUGUAGCUCAGCUGGCCAGAGCGCGUCGUUCGCAAUGACGAGGUCGAGGGUUCGACUCCCUUCAGCUCCACCA